rnacentral:lncRNA from 1 species
AAGCAAACUCAAGAGCUUUCACUCCACACUUGCCCAUACGUUUUUGCCUCCAAGCUUCCAAGCUUUCAAGUGCUCAAGUGUCCUAGCUUUCCAAAGCUUCAAAAGCUCUCCAACUUCUUCUUCUAAUCUUCUUGUUCAUCUUUACAAGUAAGAAGUGUUGUUUGCUUUAAUAUUCCACUCCUCUAAUCACCUCUUGUGUGUGUCCACUUUGGUUGAGAGGGUUGUCUCAAUAGUACCAAAGUGUGAGAGAAGGUUUUCAAACUCAACCAUAAAGAUCUAGUUUGGUUUUAUAGAGUUUCCGGGAAAACUCUUAGGUCGAAUCUACCUUGAAAGAUUUCUAGGUUUUUAAAAGUUCCUUGAUACUCUAAGGUACUAACUUACCCGUAAAAGUUAGAGGUUCUUAAGAGUGCCCUUGAUACUCUAAGGUGUGAGUCUACCCGUAAAAGACUGGUUCUUAAGCGAAGUUAGCCUUAAAGCUUAGAGAGGUUUUUAAGAGUUCCUUGAUACUCUAAGGUACUAACUUACCCGCAAAAGUUAGAGGUUCUUAAGAGUGCCCUUGAUACUCUAAGAUGUGAGUCUACCCGUAAAAGACUGGUUCCUAAGCGAAGUAGCCUUAACGCUUAGAGAGGUUUUUAAGAGUUUUCUUGAUACUCUAAGGUUUUGUCAUAACCUUUAGGCGAGUGAAUUCCGACAGUUGGUCGGGACUGGAUUAGCCCUUGUUUGGGUGAACCAGUAUAAAUUCUCUUGUAUUGUUCUUUGUUAACUUUAGUUUUUAUAUUUCAUCUAAAAACAACUAAACAACACUUAAUUGAAAAGGAUCCCUCUUCCAGUUAUCUGGUCAAAUACAAAGGUUGACUACUUUACGCAGAUCCCUCAUCCAGUUAUCUGGUCAACUAUCUGAGGUUAUAUUCAUUGUUUUAAAUCUUUACUCAGAUAUUUGUUCAAGCAUUUACUUAUCAAAUAUAUAUCCAGUUAUCUGGUCAUUUACUUUAUAAUAUAACUUGUGUUUAUAAUAUAACUUAGUAUUCAUAUACUAUAGUUGUUUAUAAAACACCAUCUGAAAAGUUGACUCUGUACUUAUAUACGGUAGUAAACUUCAAGAGAAAAAGGCAAGUCCAAUAUACAAUAUUAUAAGAUAUAAUAUUAUAUUCUUUAAAAUCAUAUAAUAGUAUUAUAUUGCUAACAAUAUUAUACUAUUAUUAUUAUACAACCAUUUGUGUACUUAAGUGUGUGCAGGUAAUUCCGUUAUCAAUCUGCAUAAAUCGAAAAGAGACUAUUAUCCCCCUUAUAGCCUCGGAUCACGAUCCAACACUAAUUACCUUUUUAGAGGAUUUGAUUAUUGUGUGAUUUAGUUUUGAAAGUUAAUACAUUGGUAUUCAUUUUUUAAUCAUUCUUGCUUUCAUUUUCGGAUUUCUUUAAGUUCCGAAGUUGAUCUCUGAUUGUUUGUGAGUUAACAGAUUUACGUGGAGAGAGAUGUAACUCCAACACCUUCCAACAAAUAAAGUCAUCUUGUGAUUUUACACUAAGGAAAACAUUUGAGGACCAACAGCUGACUGAAUCCAACCUAUUACGACCAAAUUCUUUUGUUGCCAAAUCUUGAAUUCUGGAUUGGGGGAACCAUCAGUAUAACAGUAUUUUUCUCUGGUGGGAUCGUCUGAGGUUCUGUAAUCAUCUUCAAUAGAUCAUGAAUCUCAAGAAGAUUCUCCAUUUGUGCCUUCCAGAAAAGAUAUGUGUCACUGCGUUCAAGAGGAACGCGUAUCCAUUGAGAUACUUGCCAUCUGAAUAAGUAGUCUAGAAAGGGCGUGCCAGAUUGCAGACGUAGAAAAAUCGUCAGAUUCAAGAAGCCGUGCCAGAGAACGCAAGAAGUUACAAAGAGCGCAGAAGGUUAACUUUGAACAAAAUUCCAUUCACUUUGGAGAAAAAUCAAACGUGAUUUGGGGAAAAAUUUCGAGGAAAAAAUUGUAAUUUGCUAAUCACCCAAAAAGUUGAUUACAAAUGAUAUCAUGCAUGCAUGCCAGAUAAUAUCAAGGAAGGACAAUUAACAAAUGAAUACCAAUGUAUUAACUUUCAAAACUGAAUCACACAAUAAUCCAAUCCUCUA